UGGGGAAUAUUGGACAAUGGGGGAAACCCUGAUCCAGCCAUGCCGCGUGUGUGAAGAAGGCCUUUUGGUUGUAAAGCACUUUAAGCAGUGAAGAAGACUCCAUGGUUAAUACCCAUGGACGAUGACAUUAGCUGCAGAAUAAGCACCGGCUAACUCUGUGCCAGCAGCCGCGGUAAUACAGAGGGUGCAAGCGUUAAUCGGAAUUACUGGGCGUAAAGGGAGCGUAGGUGGCUCUAUAAGUCAGAUGUGAAAUCCCCGGGCUUAACCUGGGAACUGCAUCUGAAACUGUAGAGCUAGAGUAUGUGAGAGGAAGGUAGAAUUCCAGGUGUAGCGGUGAAAUGCGUAGAGAUCUGGAGGAAUACCGAUGGCGAAGGCAGCCUUCUGGCAUAAUACUGACACUGAGGCUCGAAAGCGUGGGUAGCAAACAGGAUUAGAUACCCUGGUAGUCCACGCCGUAAACGAUGUCUACUAGUCGUUGGGUCCCUUGAGGAACUUAGUGACGCAGCUAACGCAA
rnacentral:rRNA from 1 species